GGGAUUGUGAAGAAAACAAAAUUCCAUGUCUAGAGGUACCAAAUUUACCAACUAACCUAUCUUUCAUAUGAGAAUUAAUAUAUAUAUAUAUAUAUAUAUAUAUAUAUAUAUAUAUAUAUAUAUAUAUAUAUUAUGACUUACGUAGAUGUCUUAAUUUAUAUCAUCGAUCAAUGUGUCAUGUAAAGUAGAGAGAGAGGAGAAAAAGACAAAGGCUUUUCAAAAGCUGGCAAGGUAAUUAAGUCUUUCAUUUUACAUAUUAAGGGUCAGCUAUACAUGCCUUUAAUACAAACAAUAAGAAAGAAAUUCGAAAGGGAAAGAGAAUAUGAUUAAAAGUAAAGAAAUGAACUUUCAGUCAAGUUACAUUAUAAUAUAUAGCAAUUAAAAAAGAUUAAUGCGGCAUAUAUAAUCUAGCUUACUCAUGUGGAUUAAUUAAUCAGCAAACUAAACAAGAGAACUGAUCAUUAAUAUAAUUUUUGUUUGUUUGUUUUAAGUUAAUUGGUGGAUUUUGAUUUUAGGGAAUUAAACAUUAUAAAAUUGCAUGCAUAAGAGACUGUAUAUUGUAACAGAGAUUAUAACCAUUGUACCUCUGCUUUCUUGACAAAUAAAAUCUAGUCUUUCAUAUAUAUAUAUAUAUAUAUAUGUGUGUGUGUGUGUGUGUGUGUGUGUGUGUGUGUGUGUGUGUGUGUGUGUGUGUGUG
rnacentral:lncRNA from 1 species